rnacentral:rRNA from 1 species
UACAGAGGUCUCAAGCGUUGUUCGGAUUCCUUGGGCGUAAAGGGUGCGUAGGCGGCGCGGUAAGUCGGGUGUGAAAUCUCGGAGCUUAACUCCGAAACUGCAUUCGAUACUGCCGUGCUUGAGGACUGGAGAGGAGACUGGAAUUUACGGUGUAGCGGUGAAAUGCGUAGAUAUCGUAAGGAAGACCAGUGGCGAAGGCGGGUCUCUGGACAGUUCCUGACGCUGAGGCACGAAGGCCAGGGGAGCAAACGGG